AUUGAACGCUGGCGGCAUGCUUUACACAUGCAAGUCGAACGGUAACAGGUUAAGCUGACGAGUGGCGAACGGGUGAGUAAUGCAUCGGAACGUGCCCGAUCGUGGGGGAUAACGCAGCGAAAGCUGCGCUAAUACCGCAUACGAUCUGAGGAUGAAAGCGGGGGACCGUAAGGCCUCGCGCGAUCGGAGCGGCCGAUGGCAGAUUAGGUAGUUGGUGGGGUAAAGGCUUCCCAGGCCGACGAUCUGUAGCUGGUCUGAGAGGACGACCAGCCACACUGGGACUGAGACACGGCCCAGACUCCUACGGGAGGCAGCAGUGGGGAAUUUUGGACAAUGGGCGAAAGCCUGAUCCAGCAAUGCCGCGUGCAGGAAGAAGGCCUUCGGGUUGUAAACUGCUUUUGUACGGAGCGAAAAGGCUCUCUCUAAUACAGGGGGCUCAUGACGGUACCGUAAGAAUAAGCACCGGCUAACUACGUGCCAGCCGCCGCCGUAA
rnacentral:rRNA from 1 species